AAGUCUAAACCCGCAAGGGAGACGUACGUCCCAACGGUAGUGUCAGUGACUGGGGUG
rnacentral:rRNA from 1 species